CGUCAGAUGAACGCGGGCGGUGUGCCUAAUACAUGCAAGUCGAGCGAACAGACGAGGAGCUUGCUCCUCUGACGUAGCGGCGGACGGGUGAGUAACACGUGGAUAACCUACCUAUAAGACUGGGAUAACUUCGGGAAACCGGAGCUAAUACCGGAUAAUAUAUUGAACCGCAUGGUUCAAUAGUGAAAGACGGUUUUGCUGUCACUUAUAGAUGGAUCCGCGCCGCAUUAGCUAGUUGGUAAGGUAACGGCUUACCAAGGCAACGAUGCGUAGCCGACCUGAGAGGGUGAUCGGCCACACUGGAACUGAGACACGGUCCAGACUCCUACGGGAGGCAGCAGUAGGGAAUCUUCCGCAAUGGGCGAAAGCCUGACGGAGCAACGCCGCGUGAGUGAUGAAGGUCUUCGGAUCGUAAAACUCUGUUAUUAGGGAAGAACAAAUGUGUAAGUAACUAUGCACGUCUUGACGGUACCUAAUCAGAAAGCCACGGCUAACUACGUGCCAGCAGCCGCGGUAAUACGUAGGUGGCAAGCGUUAUCCGGAAUUAUUGGGCGUAAAGCGCGCGUAGGCGGUUUUUUAAGUCUGAUGUGAAAGCCCACGGCUCAACCGUGGAGGGUCAUUGGAAACUGGAAAACUUGAGUGCAGAAGAGGAAAGUGGAAUUCCAUGUGUAGCGGUGAAAUGCGCAGAGAUAUGGAGGAACACCAGUGGCGAAGGCGACUUUCUGGUCUGUAACUGACGCUGAUGUGCGAAAGCGUGGGGAUCAAACAGGAUUAGAUACCCUGGUAGUCCACGCCGUAAACGAUGAGUGCUAAGUGUUAGGGGGUUUCCGCCCCUUAGUGCUGCAGCUAACGCAUUAAGCACUCCGCCUGGAGACGUCCACCUGU
rnacentral:rRNA from 2 species